rnacentral:rRNA from 1 species
GAUGAACGCUGGCGGCGUGCCUAACACAUGCAAGUCGAGCGAUCUUCUUCGGAAGAGAGCGGCGGACGGGUGAGUAACGCGUGGGUAACCUGCCUCAUACACAUGGAUAACAUACCGAAAGGUAUGCUAAUACAAGAUGAUAUAAGAGAUUCGCAUGGAUUUCUUAUCAAAGCUUUUGCGGUAUGAGAUGGACCCGCGUCUGAUUAGCUAGUUGGUAAGGUAAUGGCUUACCAAGGCGACGAUCAGUAGCCGACCUGAGAGGGUGAUCGGCCACAUGGGAACUGAGACACGGUCCAAACUCCUACGGGAGGCAGCAGUGGGGAAUAUUGCACAAUGGGCGAAAGCCUGAUGCAGCAACGCCGCGUGAGCGAUGAAGGCCUUCGGGUCGUAAAGCUCUGUCCUCAAGGAAGAUAAUGACGGUACUUGAGGAGGAAGCCCCGGCUAACUACGUGCCAGCAGCCGCCGUAACAC